UAAAAGGUGGGUGAAUUGGUUAAGCCGUAAAAUUGUAAAUUUUAUUUUCAAUUGAAAAUGUAAGUUCGAGUCUUACCCUUUUAA
rnacentral:tRNA from 1 species